GGAAAGGAAAUCAAGAGAGACUCCGUUAGUAGUGGCGAGCGAACGCGGACCAGCCGAUCCUUUAGACGUGACUGGAAUGACCUGGAAAGGUCAGCCACAGCGGGUGACAGCCCCGUACAGGAAGCUUCUAGAGGACAUAUCAAGUAGGGCGGGACACGUGAAAUCCUGUCUGAAGAUCGGGGGACCACCCCCGAAGGCUAAGUACUCCUUACUGACCGAUAGCGAACCAGUACCGUGAGGGAAAGGUGAAAAGCACCCCGACGAGGGGAGUGAAACAGUUUCUGAAACCGGACGCCUACAAGCAGUCGGAGGGGCCUUGAGCCCUGACGGCGUACCUUUUGUAUAAUGGGUCAACGACUUGGUCUAACGAGCAAGCUUAAGCCGAUAGGUGUAGGCGCAGCGAAAGCGAGUCUUAAAAGGGCGAAUGAGUUCGUUGGAUCAGACCCGAAACCAAGUGAUCUAGCCAUGUGCAGGAUGAAGGUUGGGUAACACCAACUGGAGGUCCGAACCCACACCUGUUGAAAAAGGUCGGGAUGACGUGUGGCUAGGGGUGAAAGGCC
rnacentral:rRNA from 1 species